CUACGGGGCGCAGCAGUAGGGAAUAUUGGACAAUGGGGGCAACCCUGAUCCAGCAAUGCCGCGUGAGUGAUGAAGGCCUUAGGGUUGUAAAGCUCUUUCGCCGGGGACGAUAAUGACGGUACCCGGAGAAGAAGCCUCGGCUAACUCCGUGCCAGCAGCCGCGGUAAGACGGAGGAGGCUAGCGUUGUUCGGAAUUACUGGGCGUAAAGGGCGCGUAGGCGGCCUGCUAAGUCGGACGUGAAAGCCCGGGGCUCAACCCGGGAGUUGCGUUCGGGACUGGCGGGCUUGAGGAUGGAAGAGGAUGGUGGAAUUCCCAGUGUAGAGGUGAAAUUCGUAGAUAUUGGGAAGAACACCGGUGGCGAAGGCGGCCAUCUGGUCCAUACCUGACGCUGAGGCGCGAAAGCGUGGGGAGCAAACAGGAUUAGAUACCCUAGUAGUC
rnacentral:rRNA from 1 species